rnacentral:rRNA from 1 species
UACGAAGGGGGGCGAGCGUUGUUCGGAAUCACUGGGCGUAAAGGGCGCGUAGGCGGCCCCUUCUUGUCGCGUGUGAAAGCCCCGGGCUCAACCUGGGAACGGCGCGCCGAGACGGGAGGGCUGGAGUUCGGGAGAGGAGCGUGGAAUUCCCAGUGUAGAGGUGAAAUUCGUAGAUAUUGGGAAGAACACCGGUGGCGAAGGCGGCGCUCUGGACCGAGACUGACGCUGAGGCGCGAAAGCGUGGGGAGCAACAGG